GCUAUCUUAGUAGCGGAAGUUACCGCUACUAAAAUAGCUGUAACGUCCGCUAUCAAGGUAGCUGUAACUUCCGCUAUUAAGAUAGC
rnacentral:pre_miRNA from 1 species